GAUUUUUAUUAAACUCAUCCAAGAAAUGAUCCUAAUCCAGCUGAGUCUGAUCGGAGCAGUUAACUGGAGCUGCUUCAGUCUAAAAUAGAAAAGGACCUAAAUACCCCUAUCAAAUUUAGAGAAUUACACCAAAACCUAAACCUUCUUCUCCUUCUUCUCCUCAUCCUCGACACAUAACAUUCCUUUGGCCAUCUCUGUAGAGAAGAGAAACGAGAUCUCUUCUUCGCCGGAUCUCUUCGUCGCAUGAUCUCCUCCGCCGGAUCUCUCACUGGAAUCCACUCCUCUUUGAUCUUCUCACCCCACUCCACUCCUCUUUGAUCUCUUCGCCGGAUCUCUUCUUCUCUCUCUCGUGCGUGGGUUUAAGGUGUUACAGAUUGAAUUAGCUGCGACCACUGUUUGAGAGGUGUUACCGAUUGAAAUCGCUGCAACCACUGUUUGAGAGAUUCAUGUUUUGGAGCUAGAGAUUUUUAAUGGAUGAACAGAGAGUUAAUUAGUUCUACAUUUGCUUAUAUAGAUGCUAUCUUUUUGGUAAUAAAUGUCAAAUAUAAUAAUUUGAAAUUUGUUUGGUUGUAAAUAUAUAUAUUUGAUCAAUAAUUAAAAUUAAUAUGGUUAAGAUUAAGACUUAAAAUAUAAUUAGAUGAAAACAUGGGCAUUUUAGUCAUUUUUCUAAUCAAAAGCAUCUAGAUGAGAAUGGUUUUCAACCAAACAAACAAAGUUUUAACCAAAAGCAGUUAGAUGGAUCAUCCAGAUGAACCACCAAAAAUGAAAACGAAAAUCAUUCAGAUGGAUUAGCCAGAUAGAUCAUUUGGAUGGAGCAUUUGGAUGCAUAUCCCAAAUGAGCAAACGAACAACACCAUCCAUGAAAUAUUACUAGAUUCGUAUCUGUUUUACUUUAUUUAUGUUAGCUAUAGCAUCGGGAUGGUCUUUUGUUUUGCUGCGAUCUCGUUUGAGUUUUCUCUCAUCGUGACCGACGUCGUCUUCGUCUUCUCUUGUAUAUAAAUGAAUACCCAAAGACCUCAUCUUCUUCACAAUUCAGAUUCCAAAUUUCUCAAACAAUCUAAAAUCAUUCUCUCAAAUCUCUCAACCGUGAUCAAGGUAGAUUUCUGGGUUCCUUUUCAGUUUCUUCGUAUUGUUUCGUUCGAUCGUGAUUGUUUCGUUCGAUCGUGAUUGUUUCGUUCGAUCGUGAUUGAGUUUCUGUUCUUUGAAUUUCAUUCGGUUAAUCUUUGAUCGGAGACAAAGUUCUGAGUUUCUUCGUUAGAUCUCAUCUUAAUUCUUGAUUAGGGUUCGUUGUUUUCGUUGAUCUGUGUUUUUACGCGUUGAUUCUUUGAAUUUGAUCUGAUUUGUUCUAAGAAUCUGAGUUUUAUCUCUUAGAUCUAUCCAAAUCUGGUUUUGUGCGAUCGAAUUUGUCAACUAAUUUCGGUUUUUCUGGAGCUCAUUACAAAAAACAACACUUUAUGUGUCAAGAUAUAUUGUCAUUAAGCUCUAAUUUUAUGAAGAACAACACUUUAUAGGUCAAAGCUAAUAAUAAAUUGAAAAGAAAAAAAAAAUAGUUAGUUUUGGGCCAAAGCCCAUUACAAACCAGCACAAAUAAUCCGAAACAGUAGUUUGCCGUUAAUAAAAACAGAGUGGAAGAGCAAAGGACAGAGGAGACAAAUCACGCCAUAGAUCGGAGCAAGAUUCUUGGAUCUGCCUCUUAAGACCAAUCGGUGCUUUCGCGUGUCCUCAG